rnacentral:rRNA from 1 species
UACAGAGGUCUCAAGCGUUGUUCGGAAUCACUGGGCGUAAAGGGUGCGUAGGUGGCGUGGUAAGUCAGAUGUGAAAGCCCAGGGCUCAACCCUGGAAUUGCAUCCGAUACUGCUGUGCUAGAGUACUGGAGGGGUGACUAGAAUUCUCGGUGUAGCAGUGAAAUGCGUAGAUAUCGAGAGGAAUACCAAAGGCGUAGGCAGGUCACUGGACAGUUACUGACACUGAGGCACGAAGGCCAGGGGAGCGAACGGG